UAAAUUUCGUUGUUGAGCUAGUAACCGAAGUCUUCGACGUUGGUAGAGGAAGGAACGAAGGAUGUAGGUAGAAGGAAAAAUUUUCACCAGCAAAACUAUAACCCAACAAAUGAGUGCAGACGAGACACACUAUAUAUAACGGAUGAUUAGGUCACCACUAUAAUGAAUUGCGACUUUGAUGGAUUCGUGAUUGAAAUCGAUCAUACCAUUGAAAUUGAUGGAUGUUGAUUAAACGGGUUGAACGGUCACGGGAAAGAUGAAAAAAAAAACAUUAGAUGAGAAAAAAAUAAAGACAAAUUUGUAAUAGCAAGCAGGUACGAGAAUUGGGCUUGAGAGAAAGAAAAUAUAAAAUAAAAAAAUUGAAUAUAGAAGAAAAAGGUAUAAUCAGAAAUAAAUUCAAAAUUUUAAGCAAGAAAUCGUAAA